UGCAAGUCGAACGAAAUCUUCGGAUUUAGUGGCGCACGGGUGAGUAACAUGUGGGAAUCUACCUAAAGGUUCGGAAUAACUGCGGGAAACUGUAGCUAAUACCGGAUGUGUCUGCAAAGAGAAAGAUUUAUCGCCUUUAGAUGAGCCCGCACUAGAUUAGCUAGUUGGUGAGGUAAUUGCUCCACCAAGGCUACGAUCUAUAGCUGAUUUGAGAGGAUGAUCAGCCACACUGGGACUGAGACACGGCCCAGACUCCUACGGGAGGCAGCAGUAGGGAAUAUUGGACAAUGGGGGAAACCCUGAUCCAGCAAUGCCGCGUGAGUGAAGAAGGCCCUCGGGUUGUAAAACUCUUUCAUCAAUGAUGAUAAUGACAUUAGUUGAAGAAGAAGCUCCGGCUAACUUCGUGCCAGCAGCCGCGGUAAUACGAAGGGGGCUAGCGUUGUUCGGAAUCACUGGGCGUAAAGCGUAUGUAGGCGGAUCAAAAAGUUAGAUGUGAAAUCCCUGGGCUCAACCCAGGAACUGCAUUUAAAACUAGUGAUCUAGAAUUUGGUAAAGGUUAGUAGAAUUUCCAGUGUAGAGGUGAAAUUCGUAGAUAUUGGAAAGAAUACCAGAAGCGAAGGCGACUAACUAGGCCAUUUUUGACGCUGAGAUACGAAAGCGUGGGUAGCAAACAGGAUUAGAUACCCUGGUAGUCCACGCAGUAAACGAUGAGUGCUAGUCGCUGGGACAAUAGUUUCAGUGUCGUAGCUAACGCAUUAAGCACUCCGCCUGGGAAGUACGGUCGCAAGAUUAAAACUCAAAUAAAUUGACGGGGCC
rnacentral:rRNA from 1 species